UCCCUGGUGGCUUAGACGGUAAAGCAUCUGCCUGCAAUGCGGGAGACCCGGGUUCAAUCCGUGGGUCGGGAA
rnacentral:tRNA from 1 species